GUUAAGUCAACGGAGGCUCCUGCAUGCGCCAGAUUUCCAGCCAGGGGAGGAUAUACGGUUCAACCCGUCCCAGCGCCUGCUUCAAUUAUUGAGGAAGCAAGAAGGAGCAGGAAUGAUGGGGGGAGUAGUCAGAAGCUUAUAUUGUUUAUUCAAGGGAAAGCUAUAUCGGGUGCUCCAAUUAUUAGGGGGACUAAUCAGUUUCCAAAUCCUCCAAUCAUGACAGGUAUAACUAUGAAGAAAAUUAUUACGAAUGCAUGGGCGGUUACAAUAACAUUGUAGAUUUGAUCAUCUCCUAGCAGGGUUCCAGGUUGACCUAAUUCAGCACGAAUUAAGAGGCUUAGGGCGGUUCCUACUAUUCCAGCUCAAGCGCCGAAUAGGAGAUAUAAAGUGCCGAUGUCUUUGUGGUUGGUUGAGAAUAAGCAGCGAGUAAUGAACAUAGGUAAGAUGGCUGAGUAAGCAUUAGAUUGUAAAUCUAAAGACAGAGGUUGGAAUCCUCUUCUUAUCAAGUCCCGUGGUGAAUUUCACAUUGAAUUGCAAAUUCAAAGGAGCAGCUUCAACUCUGCCUGGGCUACUCCCGCCUUUUUUUCUAGGUGGCGGGAGAAGUAGAUUGAAGCCAGUUGACUAGGGUAUUUAGCUGUUAACUAAAAUUUUGUGGGAUGAUAGAGUAUUGCAGUCCUUAGUAUGCAGGAAUUAAGUGAAUACACUUGCUUAGAGCUUGGAAGGCUCUUGGUCUGAUGUUAACCUAAAUUCCUAGUCCAAAAUUGAUAAUAUGGGAGUUAGAGGAUAUUACGAUUAAUGGGGGUAGGAGGGUUAUUUGUUUGGUUUCAAAUUGUCAUUUCAUUUUUAUGUUGUUUGUGGAUGGGAAUACGGUUGGUGAUGUGGAGUAGGUUAGUCGUAUGUAGAAGUAGAGGUUGAGUAGUGCUAUGACGGCCAUUAGUGUGGGGAGGAUGAUCCUGUUGUUUUUAGUAAGUUCUUGGAUGAUUAUUCAUUUGGGUAUGAAUCCUGAUAGUGGAGGAAGGCCUCCUAUGGAUAGUAAGGUAAUUAGGAUCAGUGCGGUAGUUAGGGGUGUUUUAUUUCAUGUAUGUGAAAGUGAUAGUGUUGUGGUGGAGGAGCUGUGGAUAAACAGUAUGAAUAUUGUGAGUGUCAUUAUAAUGUAAAUUAGUAUACUUAGUACUGUUAUUGUU
rnacentral:tRNA from 1 species